rnacentral:rRNA from 1 species
GAUGAACGCUAGCUACAGGCUUAACACAUGCAAGUCGAGGGGAAACGGCGUUGAGUGCUUGCACUCUUCGGACGUCGACCGGCGCACGGGUGAGUAACGCGUAUCCAACCUUCCCAUAACUAAGGGAUAACCUACCGAAAGGCAGACUAAUACCUUAUGUAAUUCUUAGAUGACAUCAGAAGAGAAUGAAAGAUUUAUCGGUUAUGGAUGGGGAUGCGUCUGAUUAGCUUGUUGGCGGGGUAACAGCCCACCAAGGCAACGAUCAGUAGGGGUUCUGAGAGGAAGGUCCCCCACAUUGGAACUGAGACACGGUCCAAACUCCUACGGGAGGCAGCAGUGAGGAAUAUUGGUCAAUGGGCGAGAGCCUGAACCAGCCAAGUAGCGUGCAGGAUGACGGCCCUAUGGGUUGUAAACUGCUUUUGUAUGGGGAUAAAGUCAAUCACGUGUGAUUGUUUGCAGGUACCAUACGAAUAAGGACCGGCUAAUUCCGUGCCAGCAGCCGCGGUAAUACGGAAGGUUCGGGCGUUAUCCGGAUUUAUUGGGUUUAAAGGGAGCGUAGGCCGGAGAUUAAGUGUGUCGUGAAAUGUAGACGCUCAACGUCUGACUUGCAGCGCAUACUGGUUUCCUUGAGUACGCACAACGUUGGCGGAAUUCGUCGUGUAGCGGUGAAAUGCUUAGAUAUGACGAAGAACUCCGAUUGCGAAGGCAGCUGACGGGAGCGCCACUGACGCUUAAGCUCGAAGGUGCGGGUAUCGAACAGG